GGUGGCUCAAUGGUAGAGUGCUUGCUUUGCAUGCAUGAGUCUCUGGGUUCGAUUCCUCAGCACCA
rnacentral:tRNA from 1 species